rnacentral:lncRNA from 1 species
AUAUCAUUAUUAUUAUUGUUAUUAUUAUACAAUUAUUACGUAUUCUUAUUGUCGGUAAUGGCGUGUAGAACAUUUUUUUUUUUUUGAUGAGGCCCAGCAAUUCUCAAUAUUUAAUUAACAGUUACACUUAACAUCACUACCAACAACCCUCUUAUGAACAAUAAUUAAAUUGCUCUAACAUGGUUCUACGGGAUCUUAAUUGGACUCUACACGAUUAUAAUUAUAUUGAUAUUGCGCAAUAUUAUUGACGGUAAAAAAUAUUAUUGAAGGAUUGUACAAUAUAUUUAAAAUAAAUCAGAGUUAGAAAUGUAUUGUAAAAUUCACCGUAUCCGGUUGAUAGUGACAUAGAGCAAACAUGCAAAAUAUUUAAUAUCAUCGGUUUGACUAGUAAUCGCGUUAUGUGAUUUUAAAUCAUUCAUCCGUAGGAAAUUCGAUAAUUUUAUACUACCUAUUAUUAUGCUUUUUUUACUAUUCUUUUAUCUUGUUUUUUUUUUAAAUUUAAUUUUGAUUUUCUUUUUUAUGUCGGGUUCAAAUACUAAAGCGAUGCAAAUUAUUUCGGCAUCACUAUUUCAAAACAAUUUGAAGAUUUAUGAACUAGUAAAAUAACUGAUAAUAGAUAAAAAUAAUUUAAUAACAUCCUAUUCAACACAUAUUAAACAUAAGCAAUAAGGACAGUGAAUAUUUUUCAACAAAAUAUUGAACAAUAACAUUAAAAAGUUUAGGAGAAAUGAAAAUUUCCAAAAUAUUGAUGCAAUUUAAUUUAUUUAUGUUAUUGAACAUGUAGUGUACUCUUCUGACUACCUAUGGCCCGCCCACCAAACUUGAUUGACUUAGGCCUUUGCUUCAAAAAAAAAAUCUUCGCCACGUCGCUGCUCAUUACAAUAUUUAUUAUUGUUAUCAUUAUUUCGAUUAUUAUGUAUUUAAUGUUAUUAUUGUUAUCAUUAUCAUCAUUAUUAUUGUUAUUAUUAUAUUAUUAUUGCUAUAAAGGUAUUAGGUAUUGUGUUACAUUCUUAUUAUUGUUGUUAUUUUUUAUAACUUAUAAUAACGUGUAUUUAUUUAUUUAUAAAUGUAUUAAUAAUUAACGGGCGGCGACCUUUGAAUACAAAAUAGGUAAUCGGUAGAUACAUUUCGGAUAUCAGUUACAAUAGGUACCUAGUAGACAACGAUAAAAUAAUAAUAAUGUCAACUGAAAUAUAAAAUUACAAUUGUUUAUUAUUAUAUUAUUAGUAUAGUAGUUAUUGUAUUAUUUUAUAACAAACAUUGUUGGGGCCUAUUCAAAUAAUUUUACCGUGCACCACUAGUAGGUGAUACCUAUUCUUUUAAUUAAUUUAAGUCGUACCAUUGUACGCAGGGUUUUUAACAAAAAUAACAUAAUUACCUAUUUAUUUCUGUGAAGUAGGUAUCUCCUACCCAUAUGAAACACCUUAAUAUAAAUAGAGGUGAUUCCUAUAAUAAAAUUGAACUGCGUUGGAUAAACAUAUAUUAUUAAUAAACUAUUUCAUAUAAUAGCCCGUCAAAAUACAAUAUUAACUGUUAUACUUACAAUACUACAAUUAACGUAAUUUUUCACAUUUUUCGCAAUUUAUUCAACAGAAAACAAAACACAUUGCAAUAAAAUCAAUAAAUUAUACUCGCUUUGCUCAGAAUCUAAAACAUAACUGUAUAAAAGUAGGAUAAAUUCAGCUGUAAAAAAAAAUGAUAUACCUAUGUCAUGUAUAAUAACAUCUCCUUUAAAAAACAAUUGUUCUUCCAAUAACAAUUGUAUAUCAUCAAAAAAGAUCGUCUUUUAAGAAAUUAAAAACACUGUUGAUACAUAUAAUUUAGAAUUUAAUUUUUUUUUUUUUAACUACAGUUUUAUUAAAUUAUUCUUUAUGUAUAUAAAAUAUAUAAUUGAAAAUGGCCUAUAGGGAUAUUUUUCUUAAUUUUUUUUUUCUUCGUUUUUCUUUAUACUAUAAGUGUUGUCAACUUAAAAUGUUAACAAACUCGGUUCUUUCUUAUGUAUGUAUAAUAUAUUAUAUUAAACAUAAAAAACUAGUUUAUCAAAACUUUGUAGAAUACCUAACAAUUGAAUAGGUGUAUAAGUUCAUUCGACAGGGGGUAUCAUAUAGAGACUAUUAUAUAUGACCACUCUAUAUUAGUUUACCAACUGUAUAAAAGUGUUAUAAAUAAAUAUGUAUAAGUUUUAUUAAAUAAAUUAUAAAUAUAUUAUUAUUAUUAUGAAUAUACAUACAUAUUUUUGUGUAAAUAAACCAACUGUUUUUUUUUUUGGUUAUAAAGUUGUUAUCUUCCAAUUUUUUUUUUUUUUUACCUUAAUAUAUUAUAAAUAUUAAAAUAUAUUGUAAAAUAAUAUGUCGAGU